AAGAGUUAGGGCCUCUGGCCCGACCUCCAACCCUUUGUACUUGAAUACCAUGUUGCCUCGGGGGCGACCCUGCCGUCCGCGGUCUGGGGCCCCUGGUGGACCAAAUCAACUCUGCAUCUUUGCGUCUGAGUAACUUUGUAAAUUAAACA
rnacentral:misc_RNA from 1 species